UACGUAGGUGGCAAGCGUUGUCCGGAUUUACUGGGCGUAAAGGGCGCGUAGGCGGUCACUACAAGUCAGUUGUGAAAUCUCUGGGCUUAACUCCGAAACUGCAUUCGAUACUGCCGUGCUUGAGGACUGGAGAGGAGACUGGAAUUUACGGUGUAGCGGUGAAAUGCGUAGAUAUCGUAAGGAAGACCAGUGGCGAAGGCGGGUCUCUGGACAGUUCCUGACGCUGAGGCACGAAGGUCAGGGGAGCAAACGGG
rnacentral:rRNA from 1 species